AUUGAACGCUAGCGGCAGGCCUAACACAUGCAAGUCGAGCGAGCGGCGGACGGGUGAGUAAUGUCUGGGGACUGCCCGAUAGAGGGGGAUAACUACUGGAAACGGUAGCUAAUACCGCAUACUAUCGGAUAACCCAUAUGGGAUUAGCUAGUUGGUGAGGUAAUGGCUCACCAAGGCGACUAUCCCUAGCUGUUCUGAGAGGAUGAUCAGCCACACGGUGACCGCUACACGGCCCAGACUCCUACGGAGGCAGCAGUGGGGAAUAUUGCACAAUGGGCGCAAGCCUGAUGCAGCCAUGCCGCGGGUAUGAAGAAGGCCCUAGGGUUGUAAAGUACUUUCAGUCGGGAGGCGUUACCGACAGAAGAAGCACCGGCUAACUCCGUGCCAGCAGCCGCGGUAAUAC
rnacentral:rRNA from 1 species